ensembl:snoRNA SNORD24 Small nucleolar RNA SNORD24
UACAAGUGAUGUGAAAGAAUAUUACUGUCUGAUCAGUUGUGCUGACUAUUUCCACCAAGAUCACUGAUGUA